GGCGAAGCGACGGUAGAGUAAACGACACGGAGGAGUCGGAAUCUGGAAUGGAGCAGAUUUACUGGCUGCACCACCCGACGACGAAGAUUCAUCGCGAACGACGAAACUUGGGCCGCUUACCUUACAAC